rnacentral:rRNA from 1 species
GGUUAAGUUAGAAAGGGCGCACGGUGGAUGCCUUGGCACUAGGAGCCGAAGAAGGACGGGACUAACACCGAUAUGCUUUGGGGAGCUGUACGUAAGCGUUGAUCCAGAGAUUUCCGAAUGGGGGAACCCACUAUCUUUAGUCGGAUAGUAUCCUUACGUGAAUACAUAGCGUAAGGAAGGCAGACCCAGGGAACUGAAACAUCUAAGUACCUGGAGGAAGAGAAAGAAAAAUCGAUUUCCUGAGUAGCGGCGAGCGAAACGGAAAGAGCCCAAACCAAGAAGCUUGCUUCUUGGGGUUGUAGGACACUCUAUACGGAGUUACAAAAGAAAGUUAUAAAUGAAGCGGUCUGGAAAGGCCCGCCAAAGACGGUAACAGCCCGGUAGUUGAAAUGGCUUUCCCUCCAGAGUGGAUCCUGAGUACGGCGGAACACGUGAAAUUCCGUCGGAAUCCGGGAGGACCAUCUCCCAAGGCUAAAUACUCCCUAGUGACCGAUAGUGAACCAGUACCGUGAGGGAAAGGUGAAAAGCACCCCGGAAGGGGAGUGAAACAGUUCCUGAAACCGUGUGCCUACAAGUAGUUAGAGCCCGUUAAUGGGUGAUAGCGUGCCUUUUGUAGAAUGAACCGGCGAGUUACGAUUUGUUGCAAGGUUAAGCGGAAAAAGCGGAGCCGUAGCGAAAGCGAGUCUGAAUAGGGCGCAUAAGUAACAGGUCGUAGACCCGAAACCAGGUGAUCUACCCAUGUCCAGGAUGAAGGUAAGGUAAUACUUACUGGAGGUCCGAACCCACGCACGUUGAAAAGUGCGGGGAUGAGGUGUGGGUAGCGGAGAAAUUCCAAUCGAACUUGGAGAUAGCUGGUUCUCUCCGAAAUAGCUUUAGGGCUAGCCUCGAGGUAAAGAGUCAUGGAGGUAGAGCACUGUUUGGACUAGGGGCCCUUCUCGGGUUACCGAAUUCAGAUAAACUCCGAAUGCCAUGUACUUAUACUCGGGAGUCAGACUGCGAGUGAUAAGAUCCGUAGUCGAAAGGGAAACAGCCCAGACCACCAGUUAAGGUCCCCAAAUAUAUGUUAAGUGGAAAAGGAUGUGGGGUUGCUUAGACAACCAGGAUGUUGGCUUAGAAGCAGCCACCAUUGAAAGAGUGCGUAAUAGCUCACUGGUCGAGUGACCCCGCGCCGAAAAUGUACCGGGGCUAAACAUAUU